UACAGAGGUCCCAAGCGUUGUUCGGAUUCACUGGGCGUAAAGGGCGCGUAGGCGGCAGGGUAAGUUUGAUGUGAAAUCUCCGAGCUUAACUCGGAAACUGCAUUGAAUACUAUCCUGCUCGAGGGUUGGAAGGGGGACUGGAAUUCUCGGUGUAGCAGUGAAAUGCGUAGAUAUCGAGAGGAACACCAGUGGCGAAGGCGAGUCCCUGGACAACACCUGACACUGAGGCACGAAAGCUAGGGGAGCAAACAGG
rnacentral:rRNA from 1 species